CACGUAGUUAGCCGUGACUUUCUGGUUGAUUACCGUCAAAUAAAGGCCAGUUACUACUUCUAUCCUUCUUCACCAACAACAGAGCUUUACGAUCCGAAAACCUUCUUCACUCACGCGACGUUGCUCCAUCAGACUUGCGUCCAUUGUGGAAGAUUCCCUACUGCUGCCUCCCGUAGGAGUUUGGGCCGUGUCUCAGUCCCAAUGUGGCCGGUCAGUCUCUCAACUCGGCUAUGCAUCGUCGCCUUGGUAAGCCGUUACCUUACCAACUAGCUAAUGCACCGCGGGGCCAUCCCUUAGCGACAGCUUACGCCGCCUUUCAAAAGCUGGUCAUGCGAUCUGCUUUAUUAUCCGGUAUUAGCACCUGUUUCCAAAUGGUAUCCCAGACUUAGGGGCAGGUUCCCCACGUGUUACUCACCCAUCCGCCGCUCGCUUUCCCAACGUCAUUACCGAAGUAAAUCUGUUGGUUCCGCUCGCUCGACUUGCAUGUAUUAGGCACGCCGCCAGCGUCGU
rnacentral:rRNA from 1 species